UGUUGGCUUUGCUCUAGCCUAGUCUAGUUAAAGUUGGUAAAGUAGGUUUUACUAGCUGCAAUAAUUCGAUCCUACGCUAUGGGUGUAGGGUUAAUUUUCAAAUAAAGCUUUGAUUCAAGUCUCUGAGAGAGAAAUUACAGGCUGGUAUCCGUAAAUUGGUUUCGUCUUCCCAAUUAAAUUUCUAUAAUCUAGGGUUUUCUCUGAGUUUUGGGGCUUUUAAUUGGGUGUUGCUUUUCCUUUAUUAAUUGAGUGGCUGAGAGCUCGAGUGUUGUCUGAGAGAUUGAAUGUGUUUGUCGUGGUGUCAUUCAUUAUUAGUGAGAUUUUCUCCCUAAAUCUAUUUGGUUCUUCGCGUGCUGUUAAUCAAGUGUGCGCAGACUUUACUCAUAAUAAUGAAAUCCUAGCAUUUUAUGGUGAUGAGAGGCCUUAGCAUGUCCAAGGUGAACUCUAUGUGCUGAAAGUUUGGAAGCCUAACUUUGACCCUUUCCUAGAAGAGAUCAAAUGAGUUGAUCUCUAGGUGCGUAUUCUCAUAUUUCCUACUGAAUUGUUAAAUCAUGAGUCUAUGGCAAGCCUCUUUGCUGCUAAUAAUGUGGGUGUGUUGAUUAAACUUGAUGCUAAUUCUUUGUUAAGAAACAAGAUAAGAUUUAAUUAGCAAGAGCUUGUGUGCGUGUAGAUAUUACUGAAUCAUUGUUGGAAUCUGCUGAAUUAACUUAUGCUGGUGGGUAAGUGUGUGGGUAUAACAUUCGGUAUGAGGAUUUCUCUACUGGAUGCUCUUUUUGUGUCUCUGAGGAACAUGUUAUUAAUUGAUAUAUGUCCCUUGUUACAUGCUCUUAAAAACGAAAUUUCUAUCUAUCUCUUGAAAAGUUCGAAAUAAAAUAGUUUGGUUGAGAUUCUAUCUUUCACUUCUAGACAGGAAAAACUUGUCAUCAGGGCUGAGGAAGCCAAUGUGGUGCAAGCUAAGCCUAAGUCAGUUUCUAUAGGCCCUUUUAAAAAGAAAUUCCUGAAUUAGAAAUCUUGUCCCAUGGUAAACUAAAUGUUGGUUCUGGUAAGAAGAAAGAUAUUGGUAUUGUGAUCAAAGAAAACCCCCUUGUCCUUGUUGGUAAAGUUGUUGAGCAUGUUUAUGGAAAAGGCAAAGGGGAGGUUGUUCUUUAUGCUGUUGCUCCAGAUUGAUGAGGUAAGUGACUCUGAUGAUGAAGCUGGUGUCAAUGAUGCUCCUAUUCAUUUCCCUUCUAACGCAUGUUUUCAAGCUGCUAUGCUUGCUUUCUCUCACACUGAGAAAAGUGAGGGUGUAAGGAUGGCUCAUGCUCCACCCAAGGACAUGGAGACGGUGUUGUCUCUUGUUCCUUUACAAAUUGUCUAUCCCGACGACCUGUUUGGUACUCGUUAAUAAAUUGCGGUAAUGAGAAUGAAUUUUCAGUGUAAUGUUAUUAGGUAAGUACCUUAAAAUCUCCAUGAGGAGGCAUUUUUUCUCCAUGGGCAAGCAAUCUCACCCCUAAAUUUGUGUUUUUGUCUCCAAGGGGAAGCAAUUUUCAUUACCACUCAUUAUUACCUACAAGGUGAUAUUGUAUGGGAAUAAUGAAAAUUCAAGAAGAAAACUAGACACUUUAGGAUAAAUUAGAAUUACCAUAGGAAUGGACAAUGAUAUUCUUCAUAAAUUUAUACACAAAUUCAUUCCCACUACUACCAUUUAUAACCAACUACCAAACGGUCCGUGAGGAGUAUAUGCAAGGUAAUUAGUUUGGCCCCUUAUCUAAUUUUGCUGACCAUGCUUAUGGUGAUCUCUCUUUGUUUAAGUCCGUGUUGAAAAUGCUACCAUGAUACAUGAUGAUGACAAAUAUCUUGGUGAGUUUCAUACUCAACCUGAGAAUUCAUUACGUUUAGUAGACUCAGAGAGCUCCAUUGUUAGGCACAUUGGUGUCAUGGGUGUUGAGCAGAAAUCCCUUAUGGAACCCACUUCCCUUUCCAGUGCUUAAAAGAGAAGGAAGGAAAAUGGUGAGGAGGAUUCAACAUCCUCACCUCUGAAGAGAUCCGAGGUUUGAUUCUCCUGUUAGAGGGGUGGUUUUUUGGAUGCUUUUAAUUAUUUUAAAUGUCUUUAGGCUUUUGGAAUAUCUGUGGAUGCAAGAGUAAAAACACAUUAGAAAAAGUAAAACUUUUUUGUAAUGUAAAUAGUUUGUCUAUUGUAAUGUUAUGCGAAACCAAGUCUGUCCUCCUCCCCCUCCCCUCCCCUGCUUGUUUGAGGAUGACUGGUUUCACAUAUUUUGAGUGCAUCCCUACCCAAGGACUAUCAUGUGGCAUCUGGUUAUUGUGGAAAGACGAUGUGUUUAAUCCCUUUAAUCUUCAUAUUUUAACUAUA